UUUUCUUUUUAAGGGAAAGAAAGAAACCUAAGAUAGGCUGAUGUCUCUGUGUUGAAUGGUCCGGUUCAAGUUCAUGUCACCUGGGCAGUUCUCCUAUUUACAUAAAAGAAUCAGGUCAUCUCUGGUAACAUUCUUUGAAAAAUAAACCAGAAACAGAGAAAACCAAGAAAAGGGACUGAAAAAGAUAUAGAAAAAGAAACAAAUGCAAAAGCCCCAUGGGAUUAGAGGACCAGAAUAAACUGUUAUGAUUGGCUCCUUUAUAAGAAAUUCAAAAGAAAACCUAAUACUAUGUGUUGUAGCACAGCAUCGUUUUUCUCAGGACAGUCUGGCUACCUCCCUUCCAUCGAAGCACCCCUCGGAGUUUACUGUUCUGAGAAGGGUCUGCCCCACCCUUCGCUAGUGGUCUAAAACACUUAUUUCCAACAGAUAAUGUGGUUUGGCUUGGAUUGCCUCCGGUGGGUGGGGCUUUUUUUUUUUUUUUAAGUUUUCAUAGUUUUUUAUUACUGCAAAACACAUGGCAAGAACAUUUCUCCUGAUUUCCAUAUUCUACAGUUAACAUGCUACCUGGAGCCUGCUACACUCUUCGACACAGGAAUUCUACCCUCUGGAACAAAGGAAAACCUGUACCAGCCUCGGUAAGACAAAGAACAUGAGCAGAGGUUUCAUAAGGUCAUGGACGAGGAUGGGCAGGUGAGAGCCUGGGCAGCCAGUCCACAGCUUGGCCACGGGCCGGAAGACGCGUGGCAUGGGAGCGUUACCCACGGAAGGCAAGUGAUUGACUGGACAGGUUAGAGACUUUUUUUGGGGACGUUGACUAUGAGACGCAGAGAGUCACAGAAGACAAGACGCCAGAGAGACGAGAGUCAAGGAGAGAAAGCAGAAGUCCUGAGGCAGCAGAGUCACAGGGGUGGAGAGAAGAUACAGAAUAGGACACGUCAGCAGGCGGUUGCAAGAGCAAAAUAAACAGAGAAUAGUUGAGUCACCAAAACGGCCAGGACUGAAGCAAGGAGCCACAGAUGCCCUCUCCUGACAUGACCGGGAUGACUGAGGGACUCCCUGAUUCUGCUCUGCCAUGAGGCCUAGCUGUUGUGUCCCAGAACAUCCUUAAUCAACUAGACGACCUCACGUCACCCACCAGCCAGUGGUGUAAAGGAGUCUAACCCAACCCAAUUUGGCUCUAUGAUGAAUUUUAGGAAACAUUUCAAAUAUUUUCUAUAAUACAUGGAAAUGACUUAUUUAAAUGAUCAGUUUUAUCUUUAAUUAGCUUCUCUUCAUCAUGAAAUCUUACCAUACGUGGUUGUGGAAAGUACGAAAUAUGUUUUUAUGCAACUAAGGAGAUGAUUUUUAGCUCUUGGACUAGAGAAAGGUAUAAUUGUAUUUUCUAUCUGCCUUUAUAUAAACUGGAAGUGAUCGAUGCCUGUUAGGAAGUGAGAUGUGGUAGCUAAUGAUUUGAUUACCUAUUUAAUGCUCGCAUUUUGUAGUCGCUAUUGACCUCAGGGUAGCAAGGCUCAAUCUUCCUCCUCUCCUAGAACUCUCUACACUCAUAUAAAUAGUGGUGAAAAGAACCCCGAGUGUUUCAAUAAAAUUACCAAGAUGAGUUCAGUGUCCAUUAUUUAAUAAGAAUCAGCUCUUUUCCUGUCUGGGAUCCUAUUUCGUUCGGUUCAAUAGUGUUAUUGCAGAUCGGCUGUUGCGAGCCAACAGACACGUUUGAAGCGCUGGAUUUUCCAUGUAAUAAGCACUGCUUGAAAUAAGAGUUUCUGCAGGUGGUGGGAGCCAGGACGGGAGGAGUAGGCAGCUUUAAUUUGAGGAUGCCUGUGGACCACUGCCCUCUGCUGGACAGAAGAGGAGGAGCAACAUCCUGUCCUUGAGGGAAAAGACCUACAAAUAUUUUCCAAAUUUUUUGUUCUGGCUUGUCAUGGCUCUGUGGGCCAAACCCCAAGAACGUUUGACAUUAUCCCUCCUUUUGAAAAGCUUACAGAUGGGACAGGGCAAUGAGAUUUCCCAGAAAUGAGAGAUAACUUCACUCCAGGGUCAAAUCAAAGAAACUCAAGAAAACUCUGUACUAUUUCCCUUCUUUGUAUAAUACUUUGGUUGUAGUUAGUUAGAUGCAGAAUAGAAAUAUAUUAAAAAAAAAAAAAAAAAAAGAAAGAAGGAAAGCAAAGAAAAAA